UCUGAAAUAUGUAAAUCGUUAUCGAUGAAAUUCGACUUGUGGAAGAUCGUGACUAUCGCAUUUACCAAGAAAUAUCACGAGUAUAGACUAAUAUAAAAAGAAAAAAAAAAAAGAAAUAAGCUUUAGAAGCAAAAUAACAGUUUUUAUCUAUAAGAGCUGGUAGUUAUAAAUGUUAAAGCCCCAUUUCAAUAAAAAAAAAAGCAUUGAAAUUCAUGGUGAUUUUGUUGAUCCGUUUUUUUUUUUUUUUUUUUUUAGAAUUACAAAGUUUACUUUUAAAAUUUUUAAACUUUUUAUUUAGGAUCGAUUUAUAAUAAUGCUUUCUUCUGUACUCUUUAAAUGACAAACUUUUUAUCAAUAAUCACAUUAAACAAUUUGCUAUUAAAAGUAAACUCUGAACGUGUCAAUAUUCAUUACUGUCUAAUAGUUUUGCCGUGCAUAAUGUCAAAUAUAUUUUGUCAUUCUGCAUAUCGUAUUUCGUAAUUAUUACCAUGCAAUUUUUGGAGGAGAAAAAAAGCUAUACGAUUAUACGAAUUCUCUCAUUACAACGUAAAAGUAAUUUCGCAACUGAAGAUCUCAAGCUGCUGCCCGAUUAUAGAUAUGGGAGUGCAAGAAAAAUCAAACGACUCUAACCUCGCUACACCCAAUCAUGCGAUGCCACAAUACAAGAGAGCUAAUUAGUCUCCGGUUACGUUGAGUCGCACCGCUACGCUACCUUGGCGAGACACGUUGCCCCGUGCCAUCGACGUGCGAGUUUGCUUUGUAGCCACAUUUUUGUACACGUCUAGACAGUCUUGCGACCCAAUAUUUCUGUUCGUCAGGACUACCAGCCAAUAUUAAUAAUUCACGAGCACUGUUUGGAUCGUAGUGUAAUUUGCAGGGUGCUAUGGCAUCUUCCUUUUUGUCCAAAUGCUCCUUAUGAACUUUUAUACGACACCCUGUACACACGCAAUAACAAUAUCAUUACAUAUUUUAUUAUAAA